CCCCAUCUCCUCGCCGCCGCCCCCUCCCCGAUCUCGAUCUGCCGCCGCCCCCUCCCCGAUCUCGAUCUACCGCCGCCCCCACCGCCACCAUCGGCGACCCGCCGCCCCCACCGCCCCCGCCGCCCUCUACUCCACAGCCGGCGCCCCUACCCUCUCCUUCUCCCCUCUCCCUACAUCCCAGAUCCAUUCGACCGCGGCGACCACCUCCUCCACGGCCACCUCCUCCCGCUGGCGACCACAUCCACUCCGCCGCCGGCGCCACCUCCCCUCCCCUUCCCUCCCCUCCCUGGCUAGAGGUCACCUCCCCUCAAAGGGCCCGCCGUCGAUGAAGGCCGGCAAGGCCGGCUUCAAGGGCCCACAGGAGGCGCAGCACCGCAUCCGCGUCACCCGCAGGAGGCGCAGCACCGCAUCCGCAUCACCCAAGCGUCAAGAACCUCGAGAAGGGUGAUGAUGAUGGGUGGAUCUCGUCGAUCCGCACCUCCUCACCCACCACAUCGCUGGAUCCGCGACAUGGUAAGGUGUCCACGAGCUCCGCAGCUUCCCUCUGCAUCGACUACGGCCACCAGUUCAAGCUGGGCGCCCCCACAUCGCCGGAUCCGAGCUUCUUCCCCGUCGGCCGCCGCGCGCCUUCCCCCUCGAUCCGCGUCGCCCUUGCUGCUCCGACGUCUCCGGCCUCCCCGAGCUCGUCAUCCGCACCGCGGUCAUGGGGAAGCAAAAGCUCAGUGUCAAGACUGAGGAGGACUCCAAUCCUCGUGACUAGAUGGUGGCAAUGGUGGAUCUGCAACUGCUCACUGACUUUCCACAUGAUUAGAUGGAUCUUCAACUGCUCAACUAUUCAGUACUAUGAUAUAUCUUUUAUUUCUAGUUCUUAUAAUCAUUAUAGGGCAGUAAAUUGGCUGUAUGGGCACUUCUUUGUUGUUAGCUGUUAGCCAAGAGAUCAACUGUCCUGGUUGAAGUCAUAGCCCAGAGGAUUUUAGCUGUUAGCUGUUAGCCAAGAGAUGAACUGUCCCUCUAUUGUAUUCGAUGAAUCUGUUGUUGAUGUGUGCUGUCUAUAUUUUGUCCAAUUAUACA